CACGGCGCACGGGUGCGUAACACGUGGGUAACCUGCCCUGCAAUGGGGGAUAACCCGCCGAAAGGCGGGCUAAUACCGCAUGACAUUCCGGUGGCUUCGGCCGCUGGAAUCAAAGCCCGCAAGGGCGUUGGAGGAGGGGCCCGCGGCCGAUUAGCUUGUUGGCGAGGUAAUGGCUCACCAAGGCAAUGAUCGGUAGCUGGUCUGAGAGGAUGGCCAGCCACACUGGAACUGAGACACGGUCCAGACUCCUACGGGAGGCAGCAGUGGGGAAUCUUGCGCAAUGGGCGAAAGCCUGACGCAGCGACGCCGCGUGGGGGAUGAAGCUUUUCGGAGUGUAAACCCCUUUCGACCGGGACGAAUGCCCGCAAGGGAGUGACGGUACCGGUAGAAGAAGCCCCGGCUAACUACGUGCCAGCAGCCGCGGUAAGACGUAGGGGGCCAGCGUUGUUCGGAAUUACUGGGUGUAAAGGGUUCGUAGGCGGCGUGGCAAGUCGGGAGUGAAAUUUCUGGGCUUAACUCAGAAACCGCUUCCGAAACUGCUGUGCUUGAGUGUGGGAGAGGCGCGUGGAAUUGCAGGUGUAGCGGUGAAAUGCGUAGAUAUCUGCAGGAACACCCGUGGCGAAAGCGGCGCGCUGGACCAUAACUGACGCUGAGGAACGAAAGCUAGGGGAGCAAACAGGAUUAGAUACCCUGGUAGUCCUAGCCCUAAACGAUCAGGACUUGGGGUGCCAUCCGUUUGGGUGGCGUCCCGGAGCUAACGCGUUAAGUCCUGCACCUGGGGAGUACGGUCGCAAGACUGAAACUCAAAGGAAUUGACGGGGGCCCGCACAAGCGGUGGAACAUGUGGUUCAAUUCGA
rnacentral:rRNA from 1 species